AUACGUAGGGGACGAGCGUUGUCCGGAAUUACUGGGCGUAAAGGGCGCGCAGGCUGUGCUGCAAGUCAGCUGUUAAAUGUCUGGGCUUAACCCGGGCAUGCGGUUGAGCCUGCGGUGCUGGAGUGCUGUAGAGGCAAGUGGAAUUCCCAGUGUAGCGGUGAAAUGCGUAGAUAUUGGGAAGAACACCGGUGGCGAAGGCGACUUGCUGGGCAGCAACUGACGCUGAGGCGCGAAAGCCAGGGGAGCAAACGGGAUUAGAUACCCCGGUAGUCCUGGCCGUAAACGAUGAAUGCUAGGUGUGGGUGUAGAGAUACAUUCGUGCCGGAGUUAACGCGAUAAGCAUUCCGCCUGGGGAGUACGGUCGCAAGAUUGAAACUCAAAGGAAUUGACGGGG
rnacentral:rRNA from 1 species